AGCGUAGGCGGAUUCUUAAGUGGGAUGUGAAAUACCCGGGCUUAACCUGGGUGCUGCAUUCCAAACUGGGAAUCUAGAGUGCAGGAGGGGAGAGUGGAAUUCCUAGUGUAGCGGUGAAAUGCGUAGAGAUUAGGAAGAACACCAGUGGCGAAGGCGACUCUCUGGACUGUAACUGACGCUGAGGCUCGAAAGCGUGGGGAGCAAACA
rnacentral:rRNA from 1 species